rnacentral:rRNA from 1 species
UAGAGUUUGAUCCUGGCUCAGAAUCAACGCUGGCGGCGCGCUUAACACAUGCAAGUCGCACGAGAAAGCAGGAGCAAUCUUGUGAGUAAAGUGGCGUACGGGUGAGUAACACGUGGAUCAUCUACCUUCUAGUGGGGAAUACCUCUGGGAAACCGGAGAUAAUUCCGCAUAAGCUCGUGAGAGGAAAGCCGAAAGGCGCUGGAAGAGGAGUCCGCGGCUGAUUAGCUAGAUGGCGGGGUAACGGCCCACCAUGGCGAAGAUCGGUAGCCGGCCUGAGAGGGCGCACGGCCACACUGGCACUGAAACACGGGCCAGACUCCUACGGGAGGCAGCAGUGGGGAAUCUUGCACAAUGGAGGCAACUCUGAUGCACCGACGCCGCGUGAGCGAUGAAGCCCUUCGGGGUGUAAAGCUCUUUCGACGGGAAAGAUUAUGACGGUACCCGGAGAAGAAGCUGCGGCUAACUACGUGCCAGCAGCCGCGGUAAUACGUAGGCAGCGAGCGUUGUUCGGAAUUACUGGGCGUAAAGAGUGUGUAGGCGGUGCUCCAAGUCUGGUGUGAAAUCUCCCGGCUUAACUGGGAGGGUGCGCCGGAAACUGGAGUGCUAGAGGAUGGGAGAGGUACGCGGAUUUCCUGGUGUAGCGCUGAAAUGCGUAGAUAUCAGGAGGAACACCUGUGGUGUAGACAGCUUACUGGACCAUUUUCUGACGCUGAAACACGAAAGCACGGUAGCAAACAGAUUCGAUACUCUGGUAGUUCACGCCCUAACGAUGCAUACUUGUGUGAGCGAUUCAUUUCGUUCCGUGCCGGAGCUAAC